AGUGCGUUAAGGAUCCGGCAUUGAUGUGAGCUGUGGUGUAAGUCACAGCCUUGGCUCGGAUCCUGCGUUGCUGUGGCUGUGGCUGUGGUAGAGGCCGGCAGCUACAGCUCCGAUUAGACCCCUAGUCUAGGAACCUCCAUAUGCUGCGGGAGAGGCCCUAGAAAAGGCAAAAAGACAAAACAAAAAAAAAAAUUUUUAAGAAGUGCUAAUAGACUAUAAAACCUAGAUAGUGAAUGUGAUUUCUGGUGGCCUUUAGCGUCUUUUCAUCAAAAAGUUAGAGAUAAUUGUCAGUGACAUGACUAAGUAAAUUGUUUUGGUUCAGUUUUACUCUUGGUUCUUCUAAAGCCUACAUCUCCUAUGAGAAAUGGACUAUCAAGAACAUCUUUGUAUUCUACUGUCCUUAUUAUUACUUCAGGUGAUGAUUAGAAUUUACUUGAAAAUAUUUUGGCAUAGAUUAUGUAUGUGACAGCUAUGUGGAGGUGGUCAAUUGUUCUAAUCAUACAUCACUCCAAGGGUAGUAAAUAUCUGACUAGAAGGACACUCCCAGGUGCCAUUUUUUGAUCAGACAUGCUUGGACAUUGUCAGUUUCUUGUGGUUAAAAUUAAUACAAGCACUUCAGCAACUCAUGACUUUGAGCAACACAGGAGCUUAGCUGUUUAGCUUAAUCCAUUUUUAGGGAGAGGUUUUCAUUUAUAAAAUUAGUAACUUUGACAUAUAUGGUAAUAUAUUGUAGAAAUCAUCUUUCUCUAGUAAAAUUAAUAUUAUUCAUAUAUGUGAAUUGGCUUAAUAAUUUCAGAGACAAACUACUAUCUCAUGAACAGAGAGUAACAUUCUAACAAGCCUUUUAGGGCUUACACAUAGGGACAAUGCCUGAGGCUUGAUAUUUUAAUGGCCCUGUGUCCAGCCAUUUGGUCUCAAGAAUUCUGUCAUAUCUGCUUCAGAUGAUCCUCCGAUGCAAAGUAUGACAGUAGAACCUACAAAUCUAAGGGACUGAGAUUUCAUUCAUCCUAUAGAGUAAGUUGUUUGAAAUGUUUUAUGCCUGCUUGCCAACACAUGAUGGUUUAAUAUAUGUCUCUGUGGGUGGCAGAAUUUGAUCUGACACUUGCUUACAUUAUUGCUUUGUUAGGAAGCAUAAGAAAUGGCAGUUACAUGGCCACCUAAAAUAUCCUACCAGUUGUGCAUAACUAAGUUUUAUUAGAUCACUUUGUGACACAAUAUCUUAAUUUACUAAAAGUGCCCUUGAUCAAAGUACAGUCUUUGUGAGGCAAUUACUCAUUGGUCUCUGUGGAAGACUUUCCUUCCUCCCAUAAGGCUGCCAUGUGCAGCAUGGCUCUGUGAUGCCAUGGUUCAUUGACUACAGACCAAGUGCUCUGUGUUAAAAUCGUGUGGUUGGUGUCAGCUCUCACUGGGGUCAGCAUGCUCUCUGAGAGGAUUUAAAACCUUUUCAGCUGGAAGAGUCACUUCUUGCUUAGGGCCAGGACUCCAAAUAGAUAUCUCCUUAUCAAUUUGAACAGUGAUGGCAUUGUGAUACUCAGUGUUGGUGUGACUAUAUUUCCUGCCCUGAAGUGUGGGGCUUUAUUGCUUUAUGAUUUCAUGUCCAAAGUCUUGGAGGAAAGGACUUAUGUGUGCUCGUUCUCUAAAUUCUACUUUGUAUUCGUUGUGGAAGGGAUGCCUGACUUGCGGUGAUUUAUAAAUAUUGUCACACAUUAAUUUUGGAAAACAAAAGCCAGAGUUUAGGUUCCCUAGAAAUUAGAUCCUGAGACACUGAAAUUCACAUAAACUGGUCAUUGGAUGCUAGCUGCUCUCAUAAAAGGGGUGUAAAAAUGGACAAAACAGCUUCUUUUAGCAAACAACAGUGCCUGGGGAGAGACAUGGCCAUGAGCUAUCNCAUCCAACACUCUUGGGAACUGGAAGAAUAAUAACACAGUCCCCAAAGCCAAUCAGGUUGGCACAUCACAGCAUUACCUUCAAUUUAGUCUAAGGUUUGGACUAUUCUCAAUGAGUAUUAGGUCCCUUUCUUUUCCUGAGAGUGUCUUGUGAUUCUCCAGUGCAACCUUAAUUAUCUGGGCUCUGUUCCCUCUCCUUAUAAAUAUCUUGAACCCUGAGGGGACAAUAUUCAUCAAGAGAAUAGAAGAGUCUCCCUAUCCUGUUCAACAUCAACCUGAACUACUUCCAGCACCGCCUCAUAAAGAAAAAUGUAGAGGCAUACCACUACGGAAGAGAAAGAUUGUAAUUUUAAAUUUUAAAAAUUUAUGUGCAUGUAUGUAUUCAUUUAUUUGCUGUACAGUAACCUCUGCUUCCUCCAAUGUGAAGAUGGUACCAAAAGAAAAUACAGGAGAUUCCAACAUGGAGCCAACUGACCCUCCCCAAAGAGAUGGGAGUAAUUCAAUAUUUUACAUAGCUUAAAAUUAUGUUAUGUAAAAUAUAUAAUUAAAUAAUGACUCAAGGACUGAGAAGAAGUGGUCAAUGAUGAAUUAACAACCAGAAGAUUCUAAUUGUACCAGAGUAAAGAAAGGAAAGGAUAGUGGGAGAAAAGAGCUAAAGAGCAUGUUAAAUUACUUUGAUAUGAUAUUUCUGGGAAACCAGGGAAAGCAAGCAAGAAGAAACUGGGCUGAUCAAAGCUGGACUGAUCAAAGGGCAGAUGAAGGGACUUUGCUAUUCCUAGGCUAAUAGUUCUGUGAUACCAUUCACCUCAGUCUCCUCCAGUUUACUAACGCUCCACAUUGGUGCACCUCCUACUCAGGGACAGCAAGAGUAGGGUUAAGGACAGCAUUAAGACCUUCAGGAAAAACAUAGUCCUUUAAAAUAGCAUCCUUUCUCAAAGUUUAUAGAUAGUAUUUCUAAUUUUGACUCUUACUUAACUCACUUGCAAGCAUACCCUAUCACUUUUCAACUGACCAAUUUGAUUUACAUUCAAAUUGUUAUUGUUAUUGUUAUUUAUUUUUUUUUUUUAGGGCUGCACUUGUGGUAUAUGGAAGUUCCCAGACUUGGGGUUGAAUUAGAGCUGUAGCUGCUGGCCUAUGCCACGGCCACAGCAAAACUAGAUCUGAGCUGUAUCUACAACAUAACACUGCAGUUUACGGCCACACUGGAUCCUUAACUCAUUAAGCAAGGCCAAGGAUAGAACCUGCACACUCAUGGAUUUUAGUCGGGUUCUUAAUCUGCUGAGCCACAGCAGGAAUUCCCCAUUCAAAUUAUUUUUGAAAUGUGACUUCCACCAGGAAGUCUUCCGUCACAAGAAUUUGUGUUUUUGCAGUUCUGUCUGAUAGAAGCAUGCAAAUGUAUUGACAUUUUGCCCUCAUUUUACAUACCCUGAAUAGCUGCUUGUGUAGAAAUCUACUCCCUAGUUUUCCUCAUCCAGUUCAUCAAUCUCAGAGCUUUACAGGUAGCUUUGAUGCCAAUGAACUCCUACAGAAAAAAAAACUCAUAAUAAUGACAUAGUUUGUUCCUCAAAAUGACAUCUAAUUUAAGUGUCAAUAUGGCUACAUCCUAUACAAGAGUACAUACCACACAAAAGUCAGAAAUCCCUCUGAGGGGCUGCAAGUCAUCCCUCAGACUGAAUUUAUUCCUAUCUAUUUCUAUAGCUACCAAUAUGAAUAUCUAUAACAAUCUCUAGCUCUAUAACAUGUAUACAUACAUCUAUGGAUAUAAAGAUAUAAAGCCACAGGGGCUACCCAUCACCUUUGAAUACAAGAGAGCGAUGAUCGUCCUAGACUGUCUCCAUGCAGAAGAAAGUCCCUGUGGAGAGGUCUAUAAACAGAAUGGCAGCGCAGCCACGAUAUUUUAUUCAGAGAUACCAGUGUGUAUUUUUAAACAAAAAAGGAACGCUCUCAAGGCCCAUUAGUUUUCUUUUAACCACAGACAAACUUCACUCAACCCCUUUGGAAGCUGUGAUUAUUUUCAUAGAAGUCUAGAUCAUUUCAAAAAGAAUAAAAUAUAAUGAAGGGUUGCUUUUACAAACACAAAUUUUAUAGAGUCCUUUGGACUGGCAGCUUUGGAAAUUCUUCUCUCAGGGGAAGUAAAUUUAAGCGGCUCUGUGCUGGAGUUCAGUUUGUAUUCCCCUCUCAAUUACCAUCAGUGCAGCUGAAUCAGGAGCUACACCAAAAAUUCCUGAGAUAGCUUUUAAACAUCUAAAAUAAAAGAAGAAAGUGUUGCUGCAGACUGAGGUGAAGGAAAUCUUAAUCCAUGAGGGACAACAUCCCUAGAGGGAGGAAGCCGAGGGCAAGAAAUAAAGAAACAUAACCCUGAAAUACCCAAAAGAGAAAUGUCCAAUGUAAUGCUUGUUCUUUCUUUUAAUUGUUUAGGCCUGCCAGUAUUUGGUGUUGCUUGACUUAAGGGACGCUAUAAUUUUUUAGCAGAUAUAAAAUAAACAACCCAGGUGAUUAUCAUAAAGUGGGAAAGGAAAAACCAGUUAGUGUAAUAUAUUUGGGAGUCACUUCCAUUAGAAAACUCCCCAGUGGCGCAUCCCAGGCAGCAGACAGUCAGGGAGUCCCUGUCAUGGCUUCCUGCUGAGGCAUGCUGCUGGGCUGGCCACUGCUAUAUUAGCAUUUAAUGGCUCAAAACAACGUUAUGUUUGUAAGACACAGAACAUAAUUCAGCAGCAUAUCUCUACUACCAGUAGAUAGAUCUUUGCUUGGGCUUUGACUUUUGGAUAAAAAGAAGUAUUUUGCCUGAUUAAAAUGUAAAAGUUUCAGAGCUGGGGGCUAGACUUGAGCAAUUGCAGGAAAACAGCUCACUUGAAGAUAAUAGUGCAAUCUGAUAUUUACAAAAUGCUAUGGGACUUCCUGUUGUGGCUCAGUGGGUUAAGAAUCUGACUAAUCUCCAGAAGGAUGAAGGUUCAACCCUUGGCCUUGCUCAGUGGGUUAAGGAUUGGGCAUUACUGCAAUUUGCACUUAGGUUGGGGAUGUGCUGGGAUUCUAUGGUGCUGUGGCAUAGGCCAGCAGGUGCAGCUCAGAUUCGACGCCUAGCCUGGGAACUUCCAUGUGCCUCAAGUGUGGCCCUAAAAAGAAAAGAAAAGAAAAGCUAUGGAAACUUACUAGUCAAGAUGGAAUAAUUAGAAGUGGAGUUAUUUAUCUCUUAUUUACCUUCAUUCCUUAACCCAGGCCCACAAUUCCAGCCAUACAAAAUAUUCAACUCUUUUGGGAGUUCCCGUCGUGGCGCAGUGGUUAACGAAUCCAACUAGGAACCAUGAGGUUGCGGGUUCGAGCCCUGCCCUUGCUCAUUGGGUUAACGAUCCAGCGUUGCUGUGAGCUGUGGUGUAGGUCGCAGAUGUGGCUCGGAUCCUGCGUUGCUGUGGCUCUGGCCUAGGCCGGCAGCUACAGCUCCGAUUCUACCCCUAGCCUGGGAACCUCCAUAUGCCACGGGAGCGGCCCAAGAAAUGGCAAAAAGACAAAAAAAAAAAAAAAAAAAAAAAAAAA
rnacentral:lncRNA from 1 species